AGGACGAACGCUGGCGGCGUGCCUAAUACAUGCACGUCGAACGCACUGACGUCGACAGAAGGUGCUUGCACUGGAAGUUGAUUGACGUGAGUGGCGGACGGGUGAGUAACACGUGGGUAACCUGCCCUUAAGCGGGGGAUAACAUUUGGAAACAGAUGCUAAUACCGCAUAAAAGUUGAGAUCACAUGGUCUUAAUUUGAAAGACGGCCUUUGGCUGUCACUUAAGGAUGGACCCGCGGCGUAUUAGCUAGUUGGUGAGAUAAUAGCCCACCAAGGCGAUGAUACGUAGCCGACCUGAGAGGGUAAUCGGCCACAUUGGGACUGAGACACGGCCCAAACUCCUACGGGAGGCAGCAGUAGGGAAUCUUCCACAAUGGACGAAAGUCUGAUGGAGCGACGCCGCGUGAGUGAAGAAGGUUUUCGGAUCGUAAAACUCUGUUGUUGGAGAAGAACAGGGACUAGAGUAACUGUUAGUCCUUUGACGGUAUCCAACCAGAAAGCCACGGCUAACUACGUGCCAGCAGCCGCGGUAAUACGUAGGUGGCAAGCGUUGUCCGGAUUUAUUGGGCGUAAAGCGAGCGCAGGCGGUUUCUUAAGUCUGAUGUGAAAGCCUUCGGCUUAACCGAAGAAGUGCAUCAGAUACUGGGAAACUUGAGUGCAGAAGAGGAAAGUGGAACUCCAUGUGUAGCGGUGAAAUGCGUAGAUAUAUGGAAGAACACCAGUGGCGAAGGCGGCUUUCUGGUCUGUAACUGACGCUGAGGCUCGAAAGUAUGGGGAGCGAACAGGAUUAGAUACCCUGGUAGUCCAUACCGUAAACGAUGAAUGCUAAGUGUUGGAGGGUUUCCGCCCUUCAGUGCUGCAGCUAACGCAUUGAGCAUUCCGCCUGGGGAGUACGACCGCAAGGUUGAAACUCAAAGGAAUUGACGGGGGCCCGCACAAGCGGUGGAGCAUGUGGUUUAAUUCGAAGCUACGCGAAGAACCUUACCAGGUCUUGACAUCUAGCGCCAAUCCUAGAGAUAGGACGUUCCCUUCGGGGACGCUAAGACAGGUGGUGCAUGGUUGUCGUCAGCUCGUGUCGUGAGAUGUUGGGUUAAGUCCCGCAACGAGCGCAACCCUUAUGAUUAGUUGCCAGCAUUUAGUUGGGCACUCUAAUCAGACUGCCGGUGACAAACCGG
rnacentral:rRNA from 1 species